GACAGAGGGUGCAAACGUUGUUCGGAAUUAUUGGGCGUAAAGGGCGCGUAGGCGGUGCGGUAAGUCACCUGUGAAAUCUCCUGGCUCAACUGGGAGCUUGCAGGCGAAACUGCCGUGCUGGAGUGUGGGAGAGGUGCGUGGAAUUCCUGGUGCAGCGGUGAAAUGCGUAGAUAUCAGGAGGAACACCUGUGGCGAAAGCGGCGCACUGGACCACAACUGACGCUGAGGCGCGAAAGCUAGGGGAGCAAACAGG
rnacentral:rRNA from 1 species